GUGUGUGUGUGUGUGUGUGUGUGUGUGUGUGUGUGUGUGUGUGUGUGUGUGUGUGUGUGUGUGUGUGUGUGUGUGUGUGUGUGUGUGUGUGUGUGUGUGUGUGUGUGUGUGUGUGUGUAGGUUGGUUUACCGUAGGCUCUACCCUCUGGCUAUAGAGGUGUGUGUGUGUGUGUGUGUAGGCUGGUGUACCGUAGGCUCUACCCUCUGGCUAUAGAGGUGUGUGUGUGUGUGUAGGCUGGUGUACCGUAGGCUCUACCCUCUGGCUAUAGAGGUGUGUGUGUGUGUCUGUAGGCUGGUGUACCGUAGGCUCUACCCUCUGGCUAUAGAGGUG